rnacentral:rRNA from 1 species
UACGGAGGGUGCAAGCGUUAUCCGGAAUCAUUGGGUUUAAAGGGUUCGUAGGCGGAUAUAUAAGUCAGUGGUGAAAUCCUAUAGCUCAACUAUAGAUGUGCCAUUGAAACUGUUUAUCUUGAGUUACUGUGCAGUAGGAGGAAUGUGUGGUGUAGCGGUGAAAUGCAUAGAUAUCACACAGAACACCGAUUGCGAAGGCAUCUUACUAACAGUUAACUGACGCUAUUGAACGAAAGCGUGGGUAGCGAACAGG